AUGAACGCUGGCGGCGUGCCUAAUACAUGCAAGUCGAGCGAACAGAUGAGGAGCUUGCUCCUCUGACGUUAGCGGCGGACGGGUGAGUAACACGUGGAUAACCUACCUAUAAGACUGGGAUAACUUCGGGAAACCGGAGCUAAUACCGGAUAAUAUAUUGAACCGCAUGGUUCAAUAGUGAAAGACGGUUUUGCUGUCACUUAUAGAUGGAUCCGCGCCGCAUUAGCUAGUUGGUAAGGUAACGGCUUACCAAGGCAACGAUGCGUAGCCGACCUGAGAGGGUGAUCGGCCACACUGGAACUGAGACACGGUCCAGACUCCUACGAGAGGCAGCAGUAGGGAAUCUUCCGCAAUGGGCGAAAGCCUGACGGAGCAACGCCGCGUGAGUGAUGAAGGUCUUCGGAUCGUAAAACUCUGUUAUUAGGGAAGAACAAAUGUGUAAGUAACUAUGCACGUCUUGACGGUACCUAAUCAGAAAGCCACGGCUAACUACGUG
rnacentral:rRNA from 1 species